CCUAAUGGGAAAUUUAAGGGCGCACGGUGGAUGCCUUGACUCUAAUAAGCGAUGAAGGACGUAGUUAAGCUGCGAUAAGCUUCGGGGAGGUGCUUAGCAACCUUUGAUCCGGAGAUUUCCGAAUGGGGAAACCCAUCCAACUUUGUUGGAUAUCUUGUACUUGAUACAAGUUGCAUACCCAGGGAAGUAAAACAUUUCAGUACCUGGAGGAAUAGAAAACAAUGUUACGUAAGUAACAACAUUUCCCUAGUAGCGGCGAGCGAAAAGGAAACAGCCCAAACCUCUCACUAACUUUGCACAUGAUUAGUUCGUGUUAAAAGUUAGUGAGGGGUGUAGUAAGAUAGUGACGUCAUUUUUUAAAUGAGAAAAGUUACAAAAUAUUUUGUUAACAGAAUCUGCUGGGAAGCAGAACCCUAGUGGGUAAUAGUCCCGUAAGUGAAAACAAAGUAUCUUUUCCGUUAUUAUUCUUGAGUACCUCAGGACACGAAAAGCUUGAGGGAAUCUGCCGGAACUAACCGGUAAGGCUAAAUAUUGUUAGAGAUCGAUAGUGAACUAGUACCGUGAGGGAAAGGUGAAAAGCAGCCCGGUGAGGGCAGUGAAAUAGACCUGAAACCGUGCGCCUACAAGGAGUCGGAGCGGGCAGCACAUUGCAUGUGAUGCUAAGCAAAAACUUUUUAAACUACAAUUCAAAAAAUAUUUUGAAUUGUUUUGUGUUUAAAAAUUUUACUUAGAAUUUCGUUUGUAAUGUGCUGUCCGUCACGGCGUGCCUAUUGAAGAAUGAGCCAACGAGUUGAUCUGUGAAGUAGGCUAAGCCCUUUGCCGGGUGGAGCCAUAGGGAAACCGAGUAUGAAUAGUGCGUUUAUUUUACAGAUCAGACCCGAAACCAGAGCGAGCUAAUCUUGAGCAGGAUGAACCUUUGAGAAAUCAGAGGGGAGGUCCGAACCGGUGAGCCGUGCAAUACUCUCGGAUGACUUGAGAUUUGAAGUGAAAAGCUAAUCGAGCCUGGUAAUAGCUGGUUCUCUCCGAAAUAGCUUUUGGGCUAGCGUCAGAUUUACCCUUGGGGGGUAGAGCACUGGAAGGUCUUGACAGGUAGAAAUACCGCAAGACCUAUCAAACUCCGAAUACCCAAGAUAAACUAUCUGGCAGUUAGACUGUGGAGGCUAAGCCCCAUGGUCAAAAGGGAAACAGCCCGCAUCUAAAUUUAAGGUCCCUAAAUUCAUGUUAAGUACACUUAAGGUGGUAAUUUUUCUCAGACAGUAAGGAGGUUGGCUUAGAGGCAGCCAUCCUUUAAAGAUAGCGUAACAGCUCACUUACUAAGAGAUUUUGCGCCGCAGAUAAUCGGGGUUAAACAUGAUACCGAAACUUAGGACUAUAAACUUCUUCGGAAGUUUAUAUUGGUAGGAGAGUAUUCAACUCUGCGAUGAAGGUAAAGGGGUGACCCAUACUGGAGCGUGUUGAAGUAAGAAUGUUGGCACAAGUAACCACAAUGCGGGUGAGAACCCCGCACACCGAAAAACCAAGGUUUCCUUCGCGAUGACAAUCAGCGAAGGGUUAGUCGGGCCUAAGUGAAUGGCGAUAGCCGUACACGAUGGACACAUGGUUAAUAUUCCAUGACCUUUAUAUAUUGCGAUGGGAGGACGAAGAUUAGUAUGAUAAGCGCAUUAUUGGAUUUGCGUUUGUGGCGUAAUUGAGAAUUUUAGGUAAAUCCGAAAUUCUUUCUUAAAUGAUAAUUGAAAGCGCAGCAUAAACAUUACGGUUCGCCGUGGUGAAUUUAUCAAAGCAAACUUCCGAGAAAAGUCUCUAAGCUUAAAUAUAUAAAGACCGUACCGUAAUCCGACACAGGUGGUUAGCUCGAGUAGAGUAAGGUGAACGAGUGAUAGAUCUUCAAGGAACUCGGCAAAAAAGCAGCCGUAAGUUAGCAAUAAGGCUCGCCCAUAUUUAUAUGGGUAGCAUCAAAAGCUUCCCUGCCAACUGUUUAUCAAAAACACAGCUCCCUGCGAACUCGUAAGAGGAUGUAUAGGGGGUGACACUUGACCAAUGCCAGAAGGUCAACCAACGACGUUGCUAUCCGCAAGGGUAGUGGUGAUUGUUGUAAGCCCUGGUGAAUGUCGGCCGUAACUAUAACGGUCCUAAGGUUCUGAAACUUUCGUAAGAAGGUUUCAGAAGGACUGGGACCGUUGCAAAUUUACUGGCCUUGAUAAAUGAAUUAGAAAUUACACGAAAUAUAGCUACCUAAUACAUAGUAAUAUGUACUUAGUCCGCAACAUGGUUAACAAGAGACCAACGCCAUGGGUCCUACUUUUAAAAAAGAGGAUUAAGAUAGAGUCCAAUGUUUGAGGAAUGGUUGAGCGAAAUUCCUUGUCUGGUAAGUUCAGACGCGUUUGAAUAGUGUAAUGAGUGGGGAACUGUCUCGAAGAUCAGCUCGGUGAAAAUGCAAUACCGGUGAAGAUGCCGGUUACCUGCAGUUAGACGAAAAGACCCUAGAAGCUUUACUGCAACUUGGUAUUGAGUAUAUGUUUUGGAUGCGUAGCGUAGACGGGAGGAUUUGAAGUUUUUCUUUCGGGAAAGAUGGAUCCGCAAGUGAAAUACCGUUCUUUUUGAAUAUAUAUUCUAAUCUUUGAGGAAAAAACUCAUAGAAACAGUAUCUGGUGGGUAGUUUUAGUGGGGCGCUAUCCUCGAGGACAUAAAUUUAUUUUUGUGUCUUCGAUCCGUGGCGCCUCAGGAAGUGUUCACUUCAAACAAAUAAAUAAGGGGGACCAUAAUGCGAAAUCAUUAUGAGAAAAGUUAGUAAUAUCGGAAAAAAUCUUUUAUAAGUAAAAAGAAUAUUCCGAGGAAAUCUGUCGCAAGGCGGAGUCCGUAGAGAUUAAACACUAACCAUCCAAUCAAAUGGAUGAUGAUAUAAUCCGAUCUCAUUGGUAACAAUGAGAAGUGAAUAGAAAUAUUUCACUCAUAAUUAAUUUAUUAUGUAACAACAAUGCCUAAAAAGUAACGGAGGAGUCUAUUAAGGUCGGCUAGGCGCGAAUGGAAACCGUGCCGAUAGCGUAUUGGCAAAUGCCGGCUUAACUGCAAGACGUACUUGUCGAGCAGAUGCGAAAGCAGAGCAAAGUGAACCGACGGUCCGUGUUAGACGCGGCCGGAGAUUAUCGGACAAAAGCUACUCUAGGGAUAACAGGCUAGUUCCGCCUAAGAGUUCAUAUCGACGGCGGAGUUCGGCACCUCGAUGUCGGCUCAUCUUAUCCUGGGGGUGGAGAAGCUCCCAAGGGUAUGGCUGUUCGCCAUUUAAAAAGAUACGCGAGCUGGGUUCAAACCGUUAAGAAGACAAGUUUUGUCUUUUUGACAGUUUGAAUCCCAUGAGGAAUUUUCGUUUAAACAAACUCAAAUGAUUAAAAUGAGUAAUUUUAGUCAUGAGUAUAAAUAGAGAGAAGACACAAUCAAAUCACGGCGGUCUAAUAUUUAAAAAAUAUUAUGAUCAAGUUGGUUAGUAUCGGUGGAGGCCAGUACGGAAGUACAGGUUAAUACCGAGGGAAGAUUAAAAUUUAUUUUAAUUGCCCGUAGAGACUAAACACCAACAGUGAGUUAUUAAUUUAAUUCAUGAAGCUAUAGUCCAAUGCACUUAGUAAUGAGUGGUAACAUGCGUGAGACAGGUUGGUCUCCUAUCUACUGCAGGCGUAGAAUUUUGAGGGGAUUUGACUUUAGUACGAGAGGACCGAGUUGAACGAACCUCUGGUCUAUCUGCUGUUCCUGCCAAGGGCAACGCAGAGUAGCUAUGUUCGGAACGGAUAAACUCUGAAAGCAUCUAAGAGUGAAGCCGUCCCCAAGAUUAGAAUUCAAUUGAGGACCCUGGAAGAUGACCAGGUGAUAGGUUGUAGCUGUAAGCUCAGUAAUGAGUUCAGGCGAGCAAUACUAAUUAUCCGAUUCUUAUUAGGAA
rnacentral:rRNA from 1 species